CUUCACAACGCACCCCUACUCUUGAAAGACAUACCUUUUGUUUUUGCUCCCCAAAGACGUGGACUCCACCUUUUGGAAAAUGGAAUUUGUGCGUCAUUUGACUGAGAUUUUGAAAAGAUAAGGUCCCUAAUACCCCCUAUUUUCACAACUGAAGAACAAUAUAACAGGCCAAGCAGGGGUCUGUGGAGAUAGAAAGAUUUGCAGGAAGAUUGUUCAAUACGAGUAAUAAUACUGUUGGGAGAAUGGAUAUGAAGUGCAACAAAUGCCAGAAAUCUUGCAACAAGUCUGUCAUAAUAACAGAUGGAAAAAAUAAGAAUUGCAAAUGCAAGUGUGCUAAACCGCGACCACCACCGUCAUGCCGACCUAGAUGCAAGCCAAAAUGUCCACCACCAUGCCAACAGUCAUGCCGACCACCAUCGCCCCCACCAUAUCGACCACCAUGCCAACAGUCAUGCCGACCACCAUCGCCCCCACCAUGUCGACAGUCAUGCCCACAGGCAUGCCCACCACCAUGCUACUCACCAUGCGGACCUCCUGAUGAAGUCUGGCUUGUGUGGAAAGAGGAGGAUCAUUCAUCUUACCAUUACUGCUAGAGAUGAAUUAACUUUUCCAUUAUGAAUAACUGUUCUAUGUUUCUAUUUGGUAUAUGUUUAAGUCUUUAGGUGGGUAUACCUCCUAAAGUAUAUUGUGUUACAUAAACCUACUUGUUAACCGGAGUGAAGAGAAUUUACUUUGUUCUCUGGCAGAGUUAAAUCUUUAUCAUACUUUUAUGGGUUAAUAAAUUACUGGUUUGUCAUUUGUAUUAAGACAUCAGAGAAAUAAUAUAUUUGAGAAGAGUCCAGUGUUGGUCA